GACGAACGCUGGCGGCGUGCCUAAUACAUGCAAGUCGAACGAGUGACCCCUCGGUGGCAACGCCUUGGGUGAUCUAGUGGCGAACGGGUGAGUAACACGUGAGGAACCUGCCCCGAAGACCGGGAUAACCAGAGGAAACUCUGGCUAAUACCGGAUGCCCCCACCGGACCGCAUGGUCUGGUGAGGAAAUGGAUUCCGCUUCGGGAGGGCCUCGCGGCCUAUCAGCUUGUUGGUGGGGUAACGGCCUACCAAGGCGUCGACGGGUAGCUGGUCUGAGAGGACGAUCAGCCACACUGGGACUGAGACACGGCCCAGACUCCUACGGGGGGCAGCAGUAGGGAAUCUUGCGCAAUGGGCGAAAGCCUGACGCAGCAACGCCGCGUGUGUGAUGAAGGUCUUCGGAUCGUAAAGCACUUUCGACCGGGACGAAAAACCUCUGGCUAACAUCCAGGGGCCUGACGGUACCGGGAGAAGAAGCACCGGCUAACUC
rnacentral:rRNA from 1 species